rnacentral:rRNA from 1 species
GAUGAACGCUGGCGGCGUGCCUAAUACAUGCAAGUCGAGCGAACGGACGAGAAGCUUGCUUUUCUGAUGUUAGCGGCGGACGGGUGAGUAACACGUGGAUAACCUACCUAUAAGACUGGGAUAACUUCGGGAAACCGGAGCUAAUACCGGAUAAUAUUUUGAACCGCAUGGUUCAAAAGUGAAAGACGGUCUUGCUGUCACUUAUAGAUGGAUCCGCGCUGCAUUAGCUAGUUGGUAAGGUAACGGCUUACCAAGGCAACGAUGCAUAGCCGACCUGAGAGGGUGAUCGGCCACACUGGAGCUGAGACACGGUCCAGGCUCCUACGGGAGGCAGCAGUAGGGAAUCUUCCGCAGUGGGCGAAAGCCUGACGGAGCGACGCCGCGUGAGUGAUGAAGGUCUUCGGAUCGUAAAACUCUGUUAUUAGGGAAGAACAUAUGUGUAAGUAACUGUGCACAUCUUGACGGUACCUAAUCAGAAAGCCACGGCUAACUACGUG